AGUGAACGCUGGCGGUAGGCCUAACACAUGCAAGUCGAACGGCAGCACAGUAAGAGCUUGCUCUUACGGGUGGCGAGUGGCGGACGGGUGAGGAAUACAUCGGAAUCUACUUUUUCGUGGGGGAUAACGUAGGGAAACUUACGCUAAUACCGCAUACGACCUACGGGUGAAAGCAGGGGAUCUUCGGACCUUGCGCGAUUGAAUGAGCCGAUGUCGGAUUAGCUAGUUGGCGGGGUAAAGGCCCACCAAGGCGACGAUCCGUAGCUGGUCUGAGAGGAUGAUCAGCCACACUGGAACUGAGACACAGUCCAGACUCCUACGGGAGGCAGCAGUGGGGAAUAUUGGACAAUGGGCGCAAGCCUGAUCCAGCCAUACCGCGUGGGUGAAGAAGGCCUUCGGGUUGUAAAGCCCUUUUGUUGGGAAAGAAAAGCAGCAGGCUAAUACCCCGCUGUUCUGACGGUACCCAAAGAAUAAGCACCGGCUAACUUCGUG
rnacentral:rRNA from 1 species